CUACAUCUUCACAGUUAAUUCCUUUCUUGUUAUUUGUAUGGUCUGACUCUAGCAUGAAGAAUUUGAAGGAGGUAGUGAAGUCCGAGCUGUUCUGGAACUCAGCAUGAAGUUGAAGAUGUUCUCCGACUCUCAGGACAGCUUAAUAGAUCCUAUGAAGAACAUCUUAAUAUCCUAUGAAAUCAGAACACACAAAAGAUGGGUUCGGAAUUCAACAAGCAAAACAUUCUCACCCACAAAGAUCAGGUUGUUGUAAUUCUCCGACAUCACAUCAAUGCACAAAGCCCUCUGAGCAGAGUCCAGGUACUCCCACUCCUCUUGUGAGAAGUCCACAGCUACAUCCCUGAAAGUCAACAAACCCUGAAAUAAAAAGGAACAAUGAAUACAUAGCUUAUUUCCCUAUCAAAUGAAGGGGUCAUACUGAAAGAAUAAUACUGAAAACAGAGAACAAUGUGAAACCACAUGAAAA